AGCACACGCGAGGAGACGCAGCUCAUCUCACCCACCAGGGCGCUGCCGGCUUAGAUGAACCUCUGCGCUUAGCGUGACAUUGUCAUCGACACUGCCGAAUACGAGGGCUCCCCGGGCCCGGAGCGUGGAAUUUAGAGUAACAACCCUGAACCAGGGUGUCUUCAGAGCUGGCUGGCUGUCCAGCGGAUGGAGCGGCAGACGUGGAAUGCGGGUGUUCUCCGAGCAAGCCAAGCUGGCAAUGGAUGUAUAAAUAGAAGUCAGCAGUCAUUAGGAGCUUCCCGAGCUGAGAUCAUCUUCCCUCUAGCCAUCACGGCAGGCCCAGGCAAGUGCUAGGUCCAUGUCUGUGCCCCACAAGCAGCAAAGGUCAGCAGAACACGAGAGGGGCAGAGAGAAGAGCCAGAAAGUGAACUGAAAAUAACACCUGUGAGAAGCGAGAGCGACUGGGGUAUGCAACAUGGCAAGCAGCACGUCUGGGGGCCUCAGGCCUGGAGGUGCAGCUUUAGGCUCACUGCGGGAGCUGCUGCCCUGACACCUUCCAGCCGGCAUUGCAUACGACUUGGAGCUGAAGAAGCCAAGAACCUGCAGACAUUACCGGGAGCAGAAUUAAAAAGCACCAAAAAAAACCUCAACCAAAGCCUGCCCUCUCCAGCCAAAGGACCAAACAACACAAUCAUCUACAUAGAAAAUCCUAAGUAAUCUACCGAAAAAUCCAAAAGCCAAGAAGAGACUUCAGGAAGGCUGCAAAAUGAACAUACACAUUAGUCAAUAUUUUGUAUACUGGCAACACAUCCGUGAAAGCAAAAUUAAAAGUAUAGUAUCAUUUGCCAUCACUCAAAAU
ensembl:lncRNA